rnacentral:rRNA from 1 species
AAAUGAAUAGACGGGGGCCCUUCCCCUCUUUUUCUCCUUUUUUUUCCUUCUCUUCCCCGCGAAGAACCUUACCCGGUCUUGACAUCUGCAGUAGGUUUCCGCGAUGAGGCCGUGCCGGCUUUGCCGGAGCUGCAAGACAGGUGCUGCAUGGCUGUCGUCAGCUCGUGUCGUGAGAUGUUGGGUUACGUCCCGCAACGAGCGCAACCCCUGCUUCCAGUUACCAUCAUUUAGUUGGGGACUCUGGAAGGACCGCUGCGGUAACAACGCAGAGGAAGAUGGGGACGACGUCAAGUCAUCAUGGUCCUUAUGUCCGGGGCUACACACGUGCUACAAUGGUAGUUACAGAGGGAAGCGAAGCUGCGAGGUGGAGCGAAUCUCAUAAAAGCUGCCACAGUUCGGAUUGAGGUCUGCAACUCGACCUCAUGAAGUCGGAAUCGCUAGUAAUCGCGCAACAUCAUGGCGCGGUGAAUACGUUCCCGGGCCUUGCACACACCGCCCGU